CGAUUAAAAUAAAGAAAAAGAAAACAUUUGCAUAAAAGAAACUUCUGGAAACUGAACAUGAUUUCAAACUUAUUGACAGAAAUAAUAGAUCUAAAACAAUAUCACAAUAUUUUAAUGCCAUUUUACUGUGGAAAAUCAAUUUAUUACAUAAAAAAAACUGUUGAAAUCAAUGCAAGCCAGGUUUUUUAAGAGCUGUUGAAGUCUAAAAGCGCUCUAGGUUGCAGACUCCAGUCUUAGACGGAUAUGAAACAGAGAAAACUGAAAAUGUUUGAAAGCUACUAAAUUUGACGUUUCUGUGUCUGCUGCCAAGAACCAACAGGAGAAAAGGAGCCGCAGCACGUCUGAUAUUAGAGAUGCAUCAGAUUUAAUGUAAACUGGGUAACUUUUCCUGAACUGGUCUGAUUUGUGAUCGACAGGUCUGGAUUUAGAUCUCCCACCUUUUUUGCUCCCUAAACACAACAACAAAUUAGAGAUAAUCCAAUAUUUCCCAACUUUUCAGUGAGAUCCAAAACUACUUCUAUCAAAGAUCCUUCAGCAUAUUAGUGACAUUUUAUCCCCAGAGGGGGAAAAAAAAAGAAAAGAAAUAAAGAAAGCUGGAAAUGGUUUUUAUCCAGUUAAAGUCAAAUCAGUGCAUUUCUAAGUUCCAGGUUUAACAUGAGCACAGACUGACAGACACGCAACAGGACAGUCCAACAUGGAGAGACAAACGGCUGCACAGGCCAUGCAGCUUUUCACAGUUUUAACAACAAUCAGAAGACUCGGAAAGUUUCGGCUCAUCUUCACAGCAAAAGCUGUAAAAAAAAAACAAA